rnacentral:lncRNA from 1 species
GGGGCCGGCCAUGUGCAUGGAGUAGGGCAGGUAGGCCCAGCGCAGGCGGGGGUUCUUGGUCUCCUCCUUCAGCACCUGUGUAGGCAUGUGCGCAUCUGGGUGAGCAUGCGCUUGUGCAUGGGCACGGAAAUGAAACGUGUGCGUGUGUGUGUGUGUGGGUGUGGGUGUAAGCGGUGGUGGUGGUGGUGCGAAUGACGCGGUCCACGUACACUGUCGUGCUGGCUGAAGCGUUUGCCAGUUCCUUGCCUCAAGACUGUGUGCACAACGCUGCGCCGGUGCUGUGCUGUCCUGCCGGGUCCUGACACGGAAUCUGCUGCCGGACCCCCGCUGCGCCGUGCACCCGCCUCAGAAACCGGCACCAAAGCAGCCCGCCGUCUCCGUAUCGCGGCCCGUAGUACGGUAGGCGGAUUCGCUCACCCCCGGCCCGGCCACCGCGACCCAUUUGCCAACCUCCAGCGCACACCCACCUCACCUCGCCCUGGGCCUUUGCGCACCCUCCCCUAUCAGUCCAUCCCGCCUGAUCACCUACCCGAGCCUCGCCGCCUUCCCACCCACCCGCCCCUUCCCUGGACGUCCCUCGCCAUCCUUCCUUCGCCCCUCCCCGCCAUCUCCACCUCCACCGCCCCGCCGCGUCCCCUGCACCCACGCACCUCAUAGGUGCGGAAGCGGACCACGCCGGGGAUGUCGUCGUCCUGGGUGGGGCCGCAGGUGGGGUGCACCAGGCACACGGCGCCGGGGUUGCGCACGUUGGGCGCGUCCAGCGCGCGAAUGAACAGCUCGUAGUGGGCCUUGUGGAUGGGGUUGCGGCACUGGAAGGCCAGCACGUCCUGGUUGGCAGGCAGCGUGGAGCGCACGUCGGCGGGCGAGGCGCAGGGGAAGACGCGGGUGGGCAGGGCCAGGCCCUUGAUGGGGCCGCCGAUGUAGUACUUGCCGCGCUCCAUGGCCACCAUCUGCACGGCAGGGUGCUCCAGCGAGGAGGUGCCGUAGCACUUGAGGCACUCCAGCGGCUUGUUGGGGGUGAACUUGGAGUCCACGGUCAUGACCGCGAGGUCCUGGCCCUGGUAGGUCAGCAGCAGCUUGUCGCCGGGCACGAUGUCCUCCGAGUCGGUGUCCAGCACGAUGGGCAGACCGAACAGCAGGCCGUUGGUCAUGCGCAUGUUGGCGACGACGGAGUCGUACUCCGCCUUGUUCAUGAAGCCCUCCAGGGGGGAGAACGCGCCCACG